rnacentral:lncRNA from 1 species
UGUCCAUAGUACACGGAUGCCCCACUCGCACUAUCAUUUUCUAUGUUCAGUGGACCGUGAAAAUUGGGGUUAAACCUUUAAUUUGGAAUUAAAAUUAGAAAAAUCAUAUCAUAGGGAACAUGUAUACUAAGUUUCAAGUUGAUGUAACUUUAACUUCAUCAAAAACUACCUUGACCAAAAACUUUAACCUGAACUUCGCACUAUCAUUUUCUAUGUUCAGUGGACCACAAAAUUGGGGUCAAAACUAUAACUUGGCAUUAAACUUAGAAAGAUCAUAUCAUGGGGAACAUGUGUACUAAGUUUCAAGUUGAUUGGACUUCAACUUCUUCAAAAACUACCUUGACCAAAAACUUUAACCUGAAGCGAACGGAGGCACAGACGGACGGACGAACGAACGAACGGAGGCACAGACCAGAAAACAUAAUGCCCCUCUACUAUCGUAGGUGGGGCAUAAAAACAACCACUGAAC